GGGGGGGGGGGGGGGGGGGGGGGGGGGGGGGGGGGGGGGGGGGGGGGGCGGGGGGGGGGGGGGUGGGCGAGUGGCGGGCGGGGGAGUGAGACGUGGGGCGCCUGCCCGGGACUGUGGGAUCGGGUCCGGAGACGGGGGCGAAUCCCGGAGAGGUGCUCAUGCUGCGUUGUUGGGAGUGGAAAGGUUCGGCGGUUGGGGAUGGACUCGCGGCUUAUGAGCUUGUUGGUGGGGUAGUGGCUUACCAAGGCUUUGACGGGUAGCCGGCCUGAGAGGGUGACCGGCCACAUUGGGACUGAGAUACGGCCCAGACUCCUACGGGAGGCAGCAGUGGGGAAUAUUGCACAAUGGGCGGAAGCCUGAUGCAGCAACGCCGCGUGCGGGAUGACGGCCUUCGGGUUGUAAACCGCUUUCGCCUGUGACGAAGCGUGAGUGACGGUAAUGGGUAAAGAAGCACCGGCUAACUACGUG
rnacentral:rRNA from 1 species